rnacentral:rRNA from 1 species
AACGAACGCUGGCGGCAGGCCUAACACAUGCAAGUCGAGCGGACCCUUCGGGGUUAGCGGCGGACGGGUGAGUAACGCGUGGGAACGUGCCCUUUGCUUCGGAAUAGCCCUGGGAAACUGGGAGUAAUACCGGAUACGCCCUUUUGGGGAAAGAUUGAUCGGCGAAGGAUCGGCCCGCGUUGGAUUAGGUAGUUGGUGGGGUAAUGGCCUACCAAGCCGACGAUCCAUAGCUGGUUUGAGAGGAUGAUCAGCCACACUGGGACUGAGACACGGCCCAGACUCCUACGGGAGGCAGCAGUGGGGAAUCUUAGACAAUGGGGGAAACCCUGAUCUAGCCAUGCCGCGUGAGCGAUGAAGGCCUUAGGGUUGUAAAGCUCUUUCACCGGGGAAGAUAAUGACGGUACCCGGAGAAGAAGCCCCGGCUAACUCCGUG